rnacentral:rRNA from 1 species
AUACGUAGGGGGCGAGCGUUGUCCGGAAUGAUUGGGCGUAAAGGGCGCGUAGGCGGCCCGGUAAGUCUGGAGUGAAAGUCCUGUUUUUAAGAUGGGAAUUGCUUUGGAUACUGUCGAGCUUGAGUGCAGGAGAGGUAAGUGGAAUUCCCAGUGUAGCGGUGAAAUGCGUAGAGAUUGGGAGGAACACCAGUGGCGAAGGCGACUUACUGGACUGUAACUGACGCUGAGGCGCGAAAGUGUGGGGAGCAAACAGGAUUAGAUACCCUGGUAGUCCACACUGUAAACGAUGAAUGCUAGGUGUAGGGGGUAUCGACCCCUUCUGUGCCGCAGUCAACACAAUAAGCAUUCCGCCUGGGGAGUACGGCCGCAAGGUUGAAACUCAAAUGAAUUGGCGGGG